rnacentral:lncRNA from 10 species
CUUUCAUCAGCUGGGAAUGAAGUUUUUCAGUCCCAAUUUGAGCAACACACCAGUGUCUGUUAUAAGAGGUCAAGAGAAAGGAAGAAAAAUAAUGGCAUCGAGUACCUACUAUGCACCUGGCAGUAUGCUUUACUUCACAUAUAUUCCUUUACUUCCAGGCUACACCCUGCAAGGUCAUUAUCAUUAGCUGCACUUUACAGGAGAGGAAGCUGAGGCUCAGAGAAGGGUACGUAGAGAACAAAUGGACUGAUUGCCAAGUAACAGAGAGGGCCUCAGAGAGGUUAGAUUGCACAGAUAUUUUCUGGCGUAUCCUGGACUUUUCUAUUUUUUUUUCUUUGGCUGCCCAGCAAACUGCCCUCCUACUUAUGUUGAAGACUUUCCCAUCCUAUGAGCCCAGGUGGGAGAAGCUGAAAAUGGCAGAAGGUCACUUUUCCAGCUGCCCUGUGCCUGGUGAGCCUGUGACACAGACCCCGUUGCUCACAUAUCCACCCAGUUUGGUGCCAUAGGUGGUAGGUAAGUGGGAGCCCCAAGGAAGCUGCUCUGGCAGCAUGGUGCUGGUGGCCUGGCCUGGUGCCCUGUGCUGGGUAGGGGAGGGAUACUGGCAGCAUCUCUGGUUUGGGGAAGGUAAGGGGCCCCAGAGGUCUGUUUGGCAGGGCAAUUUUGACCAAAAUUGGAACAUUGCUUUUAGCUGGGUAGCCCCAAGUCUGGCUCUAUAGCCUUUCUACCAAUUCAUGUGAUAAUCAACAUCCUUAAAAAAUCAUUAUCUGGGAACAAUUUCAUACUUAUAAAAUAUUGCAAAAAUAGUACAAAGAAUUCCCAUAAACCUUUCACUUAGAUUUCCAAAAUGUUAACACUUUAUCACACUUGCUUUAUCAUUCUCUGUCUUUUGCUUAUCUAUCUACCUAUCCACUUUACUUUAGUAGUAAUUGUUUCAGAUAAGAUUCAUCAAUGGAUGUUAAAAUAAUGACUGAAAGAAAGACGAGAAAUAAGAUAUUUACAUAGCCUCCAAACACAUUCCUUCAAUUGUAUGGGGGAAAGAGGAACUUUACAGUGAAGAAACCUGGUAGGCACCACCUGAACUCAGUGAUAAAACUUAAUAUCCUGAGUAACGGAACAAAUCAACACCAGAUGCCUCUUGAUAGAAUGCAGUGAGCUGAACACACCAUCACUUCCUGGAAUUCCCGCAAAAAUGCACAACCUGAAUUUACUCAUAGGGAAACAUCAGAAGAAGCCAAACUGAGCUUCAGUCUACAGAGUAACUGGUUUGUUUUCCUCAACAUCAUUUUAAUAAUUUUUAUUAAGUUUUUUUAAGGUGUUAGGCCACCCAGGUGUUUUGCAACCUGCAUAGCACCGAACCAAUGUAAGGGCAUUCUUAAAGUUUUGGUGUUGAUGAAGGCCAUGCUGAUGAGGAAACUACCUAAAUGGGCACUAUUCCAGGAACUGGACUGUCAUGUUUCAAGGGAUCCUCAGGUACAGCAGGUGGACUGAGAGGGAACAGAGGAGAACGAGGAAUGUUGGAGAGACGAGGGCCCUGAAUACGGUGUUCAGCAUCUAGAUCACAAUUAAUAACUUUGUGUCUCCGUUUUCUACCCUCAUUUGUGCUCCACGGCUGCAAAACGAUGAAAUAUUGAUUCCUUCCUCUAGUGAAUCAAUGUGGAUGUUGUAUGGCAAAGAUGAAGGCAGAGAGCUCAUGCUUUCUUUGUGCCCCACCCUGAACACUAUACUACGAGCCAGUGUGUUGCAGUGGUUAAGCGCUCAGGCUCCGGAAUCAGUUUCUUCAUCUGUAAAAUGCGGAUAAUGAUAAUGCAUGGUUCAUAGGCAUGAUGUGAGGAGUAAAUGGGAUAUUGAGUAUAAGGUGCUUAGCACCAUGCCUGGUCCACCAUGAACACUGAAUAAAUGUUGGCAUUGAGUGUGACUAGAAGGGCUAAUGCUUGUACUUUGCAUGCCAACAUUCUCCUCUGGUGUGAAGUACAGAGAAAUUAAGAGUAGCAAAGGGAAUUUGGACUUAAGAUCAAAUACUCAUUUCACAGACAAGGAAGCUGAGUGCUGGGGGAGAUGUCUGGUCUCCCCUGGGUUAGCACAUGGUGCACCUCCAACGUUUCCCCUCCCUAUUGCCAGGGUCCUCUGUCACCUCCACUUGUGCUAACCUUGGUGCUUGGAGAGGUGGGCAGGGAGCUCGUAACUCCAUAAUUGCCUUGUGGAUUUUAUGGGGCCAUAUAACGGUGUGCUGUGCAAACUUUUAUGAGUAUUUAUUUUACAAUGUCUAUUGAAACCAUUAACACUUUCAUUAGCUAGAUUCAGGGGCUGAGAGAAGCUUGGCUUCCCCACUAAGAUCAAUUUUGUCUGUAAUUUUAAAUAAAAGUUUACAAAAACAUUGCAUCUUCGUCCCAAGGAAAGGAGAUGUUCUUAGUGUCUUGCAGUCCUAGAUGGAAUCAGGAAUCCACGAUCAACUAUUUAUCCUUUUCAAUUCUGUGCUGGACGGAAGGAGACAAAUGGAGAUUACUAGGCCAAUCAGUCCAUAAUAUUUAUUACUUCUCCUUCAAACUUGAAUUCUGCCCACAAAGCUGAUCUCCAAGUGACCUUGUGGUUUCUGAGACUGCACUUUCAUUUUGGAUUCCAUAAUUUCUGGUAGGUAGGAACUUAAGCACAGCAUACAAAAAAAAUAAAAAUAUAAUUUCUAAUUCUUUUUAAAAAUGUAUCUGUACAUUAUGGGAGACUAUACCUGAUAAAAUGAGGAUACAGUUUUUAAUAUACUUCCAGUAUAUGUACUUCAAAGUCUCACAAUUGUUUAUCAGAAUUUCUAAAAAGUAGUGAGCUCAAGUUGUUAAGAGAAUUAUUGUGCUUGGAGGAAGUGAUGAUUAUGGAGAAGUGAUUAGGUAGAUAAGCCAGUACCUGGAAGUGUGUCUCCAGCUGGGUAAGAUGAGGACAUGAAUGGUUUUUCUCAGCACUGAGGCAUGUUAUGGGGCUUGCCUGGUUAAAACAAAUGCACUUUUUCCACCUCUACUGUUGCCCCAGUAAUGUGCAAAAAAUUGUCCCAAGCGGCAGGUUGCAAACUCUGCGCUUAUGUGCCUCAAGAGACAGGGCUCUGGAUGUAUGAGGUCAAGGCUGUCUGAAGAAGAUGAAUAUGGUAGAGAUAAGGAGGAUUUUCCAGUGAUUGAAGAGAGACUUCCUAGUCAAGGACUGUGGUUUUGGAGCAGAGCAGCAGGGUCGUGUUCCCUGUCUCUGGCAGUACUCUGAACAUUGGCAGGACCUCAGAGUGGUGGCCCAAGGUGCCUAGGCUGCCAGCCUUGCCAAAACUUCCCUUCAAUCAGCUUGGUGAGGAAGGAGAAGGGGCUGAGGCAGUGGGAUUCUCAGUGGUAAUCCAGGGUGAACCAAUGUUCUAUAAUAAUAUUAGAGGGACCUCCCUAUGUCUGGGCCCUGUGUCCUACCUUAGGACCAUGGCACAACUCCCUGUGGGGAGAGGGAAGAGAAAUCCCUGUGAAUCACUCAGGCUGAAUUUCUCACCAACCCAGCAAGAUGGAAGCUCAGAGUUGAAAUCAAGUUGAUUAAUAAAACAUUUUAAAAGAAAGCAUUUCUUAAACACUUAAGUCUAUGGAUAGAAAUUUAUACCAAAUAUACUUAAUGAAAAGAGACCAUGACAAAGACUGAAUUGGAAGAGCUAAAUGUGGAGGCCAAGAACCAGAACCUCCUGGGGAAGAGACAGCUCAAAAGGAAGAAGUGGUCAACUCUGUCAUAUGGAGCAGAAAGUUCUGAAAGGGAAGGCCUGAGAGGUGGACAGUGAUUGACCCCGUAGGGACACUGUCCUCUAAAGGAUGGGAAGACUGAGAGGAUAGAAGGUGUACGGCAAGUGGCUGAGAAGAGAAUGGGAAGGGCAACUGAUGUAGGCUCCAUUCAAGAAGCUUGUUAGUGAAGAGAAGUUUUUAAAAAUAUGUUUGUUUUGUUUAGGGCUAGGAGAGAUGAAAUUUCUGUCCUGGCAUACAGGGAGAAAUAGGAGAGUCUGAUUAAGAAAGAUAGAGUGG